GACGAACGCUGGCGGCGUGCUUAACACAUGCAAGUCGAACGGAAAGGCCCUGCUUUUGUGGGGUGCUCGAGCGGCGAACGGGUGAGUAACACGUGAGUAACCUGCCCUUGACUUUGGGAUAACUUCAGGAAACUGGGGCUAAUACCGGAUAGGAGCUCCUGCUGCAUGGUGGGGGUUGGAAAGUUUCGGCGGUUGGGGAUGGACUCGCGGCUUAUCAGCUUGUUGGUGGGGUAGUGGCUUACCAAGGCUUUGACGGGUAGCCGGCCUGAGAGGGUGACCGGCCACAUUGGGACUGAGAUACGGCCCAGACUCCUACGGGAGGCAGCAGUGGGGAAUAUUGCACAAUGGGCGGAAGCCUGAUGCAGCAACGCCGCGUGCGGGAUGACGGCUUUCGGGUUGUAAACCGCUUUCGCCUGUGACGAAGCGUGAGUGACGGUAAUGGGUAAAGAAGCACCGGCUAACUACGUG
rnacentral:rRNA from 1 species